UGUAGCUAAAAGAUUGGGUGGACU
rnacentral:piRNA from 1 species